GUGCCCUUUUAAGGUUGUCGAGGUACUUUAAGAGGCAAACACAGAAGGGCAAGGAAAACUGCACCUUCUCUUUGGAUCCUGUCUGGAGUCACAGAU
ensembl:snoRNA LOC120095458 small nucleolar RNA SNORA26